UACGUAGGGUGCGAGCGUUGUCCGGAAUUACUGGGCGUAAAGAGCUCGUAGGCGGUCUGUCGCGUCGGCUGUGAAAUCCCGAGGCUCAACCUCGGGUCUGCAGUCGAUACGGGCAGGCUAGAGUUCGGUAGGGGAGACUGGAAUUCCUGGUGUAGCGGUGAAAUGCGCAGAUAUCAGGAGGAACACCGGUGGCGAAGGCGGGUCUCUGGGCAGUAACUGACGCUGAGGAGCGAAAGCGUGGGGAGCAACAGG
rnacentral:rRNA from 1 species